UACGUAGGGGGCAAGCGUUGUCCGGAUUUAUUGGGCGUAAAGAGCGUGUAGGCGGUUCGGUAGGUCCGUUGUGAAAACUCGAGGCUCAACCUCGAGACGCCGAUGGAAACCCCCGAACUAGAGUCCGGAAGAGGAGAAUGGAAUUCCUGGUGUAGCGGUGAAAUGCGCAGAUAUCGGGAAGAACACCCGUGGCUAAGGCGGUUCUCUAGUACGGUACUGACGCUGAGACGCGAAAGCGUGGGGAGCGAACAGG
rnacentral:rRNA from 1 species